rnacentral:rRNA from 1 species
UGGCGGACGGGUGAGUAAUGUCUGGGAAACUGCCUGAUGGAGGGGGAUAACUACUGGAAACGGUAGCUAAUACCGCAUAACGUCGCAAGACCAAAGAGGGGGACCUUCGGGCCUCUUGCCAUCGGAUGUGCCCAGAUGGGAUUAGCUAGUAGGUGGGGUAACGGCUCACCUAGGCGACGAUCCCUAGCUGGUCUGAGAGGAUGCCAGCCACACUGGAACUGAGACACGGUCCAG